rnacentral:rRNA from 1 species
UACGUAGGGUGCGAGCGUUAAUCGGAAUUACUGGGCGUAAAGCGUGCGCAGGCGGUGAUGUAAGACAGAUGUGAAAUCCCCGGGCUCAACCUGGGAACUGCAUCUGUGACUGCAUUGCUGGAGUGCGGCAGAGGGGGAUGGAAUUCCGCGUGUAGCAGUGAAAUGCGUAGAUAUGCGGAGGAACACCGAUGGCGAAGGCAAUCCCCUGGGCCUGCACUGACGCUCAUGCACGAAAGCGUGGGGAGCAAACAGG